AGAACUGUUUUUGGCCCGAUCUUGUGUGCACGUGUCAUCCGCUGAUUCGUUGCGAUUUUUGAUAACGAAAAUCGUUUUUCAUUUGUGACAAAAUCGAAAACAAUCUAGGGUUUGUCUCAACCCUUCUCUCUCGUGGCGAUUUUGCCGGCUUCUUUCCUUCGCCGAUUACGCACCGAUUUCCGGCCAAAUCGGAGCCAAAUUGAUUGCUGCUUCACCUCGCCGUCGUUCUCUGCUGUCUCCCAAAGCCCGUAGGUGAGGUAGCUCUGAAGUGUAGAUCGGAGUAUCAACAUCAACAACCAUUUCCUGCCAACUAUAAGGUUCAAGAAGACAUGGGACUUGAUUCUAUGUACGACUAUGGAAUAAACAGCCCAUUAGACUACAGUUCUGAAGAGGAGGCUGAUAGCUGUUACUUUGGAUGCCCAUUCACCAGCUUGUGGACCUUUGGUAAUGUAACUUUUGGAUUGUGAGUCACAUGACUUUGUUCCUUUUGGUAUCAAUCGAGUAUGUAAGCUAAACUUUUGCAAAUUGUAAUCGAAAAUGUAAUGUCAACAGAGUUACAUGUCAGGCUUGGAUUGUAGGCGAGAGUCACAUGUGUUUGGAUAGUAGUAUUAAAGCAAGAGUCACAUGUGUUUGGAUAGUAGUAUUAAAGCAAGAGGCACAUGUGUUCGGC